GACGAACGCUGGCGGCGUGCUUAACACAUGCAAGUCGAACGAGAAGAUUGAGAGCUUGCUCUUGAGAUUCGAGUGGCAAACGGGUGAGUAACGCGUAGACAACCUGCCUUUGAGAUGGGGACAACAGUUCGAAAGGACUGCUAAUACCGAAUGUUGUAUAUUUUCCACAUGGAAGAUAUAUUAAAGAUGGCCUCUAUAUAUAAGCUAUCGCUCAAAGAUGGGUCUGCGUCUGAUUAGCUAGUUGGUGGGGUAAUGGCCUACCAAGGCAACGAUCAGUAGCCGGUCUGAGAGGAUGAACGGCCACAUUGGGACUGAGACACGGCCCAGACUCCUACGGGAGGCAGCAGUGGGGAAUCUUCCACAAUGGACGAAAGUCUGAUGGAGCAACGCCGCGUGAGUGAAGAAGGGUUUCGGCUCGUAAAGCUCUGUUGUCGGGGACGAACGUGAGAUACUUGAAUAAAGUGUCUCAAUGACGGUACCUGACGAGGAAGCCACGGCUAACCACGUGCCAGCCGCCGCCGUAA
rnacentral:rRNA from 1 species